CGGUCCCCUUUCUAUAGGUGGAGGAUGCAACAGACUGAUAGCGACGUUUGUAACUGCCUGGUAGUGGGCCGUUCAAGGCCAUAAGGAGUUUGUUGCGGAGAGUAGCGGCGUCAGGGGCUGUUCAGAGCCACGUGGAGCUUGUCGUGGGGAGUGGAGUAGUGUCUGUUGUCACGACUUGUCAGAGAGUGGUGGAGCCACACGGAAUCC
rnacentral:lncRNA from 1 species